UACGAACCGAGCGAACGUUAUUCGGAAUCACUGGGCUUAAAGGGCGCGUAGGCGGGCCGGCGAGUCCGGGGUGAAAGCCCCCAGCCCAACUGGGGAAGUGCCUCGGAUACUGCCGGCCUCGAGGGAGGUAGGGGCGUGCGGAACUUCCGGUGGAGCGGUGAAAUGCGUAGAUAUCGGAAGGAACACCGGUGGCGAAAGCGGCGCGCUGGACCUCUUCUGACGCUGAGGCGCGAAAGCCAGGGGAGCGAACGGG
rnacentral:rRNA from 1 species